ACAACAAGGGACUGGGGGUUCGUCUGCUGGGUUUGCGGAGCAGCUAGCUCCUCGGCGGGAUCUCCCGGCAGGAUGGGUAAAAAGAUAAAGAAGGAAGUAGAGCCUCCUCCUAAGGAUGUGUUUGAUCCAUUAAUGAUUGAAAGCAAAAAAGCAGCAACUGUCGUGUUAAUGCUUAAUUCUCCAGAAGAAGAAAUUUUGGCUAAAGCAUGUGAAGCCAUUUAUAAAUUUGCUUUAAAAGGUGAGGAAAAUAAAACAACCCUCCUUGAACUUGGAGCUGUGGAACCUUUAACUAAGCUACUCACCCAUGAAGACAAAAUUGUAAGAAGAAAUGCUACUAUGAUAUUUGGAAUCCUGGCUUCUAAUAAUGACGUUAAAAAAUUGUUAAGGGAGUUAGAUGUCAUGAAUUCUGUCAUUGCCCAGCUUGCUCCAGAAGAAGAAGUAGUUAUCCAUGAGUUUGCUAGUCUUUGUCUAGCAAACAUGUCUGCAGAGUACACCAGUAAAGUGCAAAUAUUUGAACAUGGGGGAUUAGAGCCACUCAUCAGACUACUGAGUAGCCCCGACCCGGAUGUAAAGAAGAAUUCUAUGGAAUGCAUUUACAACUUGGUGCAGGAUUUUCAGUGUCGAACUACACUUCAAGAACUAAAUGCAAUACCUCCUAUCUUAGAUCUCUUGAAGUCAGAAUAUCCAGUGAUUCAGUUGUUGGCUCUCAAAACCUUAGGUGUUAUUACAAAUGAUAAGGAGUCUCGAACAAUGCUAAGAGACAAUCAAGGAUUGGACCAUCUUAUUAAGAUCCUAGAAACUAAGGAAUUGAAUGACCUUCAUAUAGAAGCACUUGCAGUGAUAGCCAAUUGCCUUGAAGACAUGGAUACUGUGGUGCAGAUUCAGCAGACAGGGGGUCUUAAAAAGCUCCUGUCAUUUGCAGAAAACUCUACAAUUCCUGAUAUUCAGAAGAAUGCAGCAAAAGCCAUUACUAAAGCAGCUUAUGAUCCUGAAAAUAGAAAACUUUUUCACGAACAAGAGGUUGAAAAGUGCCUUGUAGCCCUUUUGGGUUCUGAAAAUGAUGGAACGAAAAUUGCUGCUUCCCAAGCUAUUUCAGCAAUGUGUGAGAAUUCAGGCAGCAAAGAUUUUUUCAAUAAUCAGGGAAUUCCACAGUUAAUUCAGUUGCUAAAAAGUGACAAUGAAGAGGUACGGGAAGCGGCAGCUCUAGCCCUGGCAAACCUAACCACUUGCAACCCUGCUAAUGCAAACGCUGCUGCUGAAGCUGAUGGUAUUGAUCCAUUAAUAAACGUCCUGUCUAGUAAACGAGAUGGAGCCAUUGCCAACGCUGCUACAGUAUUAACGAACAUGGCCAUGCAGGAGCCCCUGCGCCUGAACAUACAGAAUCACGACAUCAUGCAUGCCAUCAUCAGCCCACUGCGUUCUGCAAACACAGUCGUGCAGAGCAAAGCUGCUCUCGCUGUCACCGCAACUGCGUGUGAUGUUGAGGCCCGGACUGAGUUAAGAAAUUCUGGUGGAUUGGAGCCCCUGGUAGAGCUGCUACGCUCCAAGAAUGAUGAAGUGAGGAAGCACGCCAGUUGGGCAGUGAUGGUCUGUGCUGGUGACGAGCUGACGGCCAAUGAAUUAUGCAGGCUCGGGGCUUUAGAUAUCCUUGAAGAAGUUAACCUAUCAGGAACUCGGAAAAAUAAAUUCAGUGAGGCAGCUUAUAAUAAGUUGCUCAACAACAAUCUUUCCCUGAAAUACAGCCAGACUGGCUAUUUGUCACCAAGUAACAUAAUUAACGAUGGAUUCUAUGAUUGUGGUCGGAUAAAUCCCGGCACCAAACUGUUGCCUUUGAAGGAGCUCUGCUUACAAGAACCAAGUGACCUACGGGCUGUACUCUUAAUCAACAGUAAAUCUUACGUUUCUCCACCUUCAUCUAUGGAAGAUAAAUCAGAUGUUGGUUAUGGACGAAGUAUUUCUUCUUCAUCUUCCUUAAGAAGAUCGAGUAAAGAAAAGACCAAUGCUGGAUUUGGAUCUCCCAUAGAAGACAAAUCGGAGCCAGCUUCUGGACGAAAUACUGUUCUCAGCAAAAGCGCCACCAAGGAAAAAGGAUGGAGGAAAGGCAAAGGAAAAAAAGAAGAGGAAAAAGUGAAAGAAGAGGAAGAGGUUAUGGCGGUACCAAAAUUUGUUGGUGAAGGAAGCUCUGACAAAGAAUGGUGUCCUCCCUCUGACCCUGAUUUCUCUAUGUAUGUGUAUGAGGUGACCAAAUCAAUACUGCCAAUAACCAAUAUUAAGGAACAGAUUGAGGAUCUGGCAAAGUAUGUGGCAGAGAAAAUGGGUGGUAAGAUUCCGAAAGAGAAACUACCUGAUUUCAGCUGGGAACUUCACAUAAGUGAACUGAAAUUUCAACUUAAAUCCAAUGUUAUACCAAUUGGACAUGUCAAAAAAGGGAUCUUCUACCAUCGAGCUUUGCUUUUCAAGGCUCUGGCUGACAGAAUUGGCAUUGGUUGCUCCCUAGUUCGCGGAGAGUACGGUAGAGCGUGGAAUGAAGUCAUGCUGCAGAAUGAAUCUCGGAAGGGAGUGACUGGGGGCCUCCCCGCUCCUGAGAUGUACGUGGUUGACCUCAUGUUCCAUCCAGGCGGACUGAUGAAGUUGAGAAGUCGAGAGGCUGAUCUUUACAGAUUCCUUUAAGCCAUCAGACGAACACAAGAGAGGCUCAAACAAGAAAUUCACUGUGUACACUCUGCUUUUGGCAAGAGUUCUGUCUUAUUAGGUCAUUUUCUGCUCACUGACCCUCACAUAAAGCUGAUUGUUGUCGAAAUUCAUCCAGCCUACUGUGUCCUGAGGAGCGUCUCUGUCAUAUAGGAAUCACAUGUAGUGCUCAGCUGCUGCACCCAAGACAACACUGUGGCCUCAUGACUGUCAUCUUUCGUGCCCAGAAUGCUUCAGGCACGCUCAGUUAAGCAAACUAAGUGAAUUUUUAGUAUUUGCAGUUACCUUGUCUCAGUUUCAUUUAAGAUUUUGAUAGUUUAGAUAGAAUAAACACAGAUCUGUCUGAGUGUUAAAAAUUCCUUUCUAAAAAUUUUUGUUUCUAUUUUUAAAAAUUCAUCAUUAAAAACACUUUAAUAUAGUGAAUUAAAAAUAUUUCU